GUCCUAGGCUGCAAAGCCAACCGUGGCGACCGCAGCCCGCCCCGCACUGUCACACGGCCCGCAGCCCCCUCCGCGAAGCCCGGGCCCGGGGAUCCGGGUGGGCACCAGGCCUCUUCUCCCACUUGGGCAUUUCCUGCAGCGGCCCGUCCAGGUUUCACCAUGCCUCAGUGAGGCCCUGGAGCCUCACCAGCUCCAGGAAGCCCCCUCUGAUUACUCCAGAGUGAGGAAAAGGAUCUAGUCGGCCCCAUAUGCGGUUAUAUCCCCAGCGCCUAAUACUAUGCCUGCCACUAGCGGGGUCUCAAGAGCAAGAGGGAAGUUUUGGACGAUGGCGUCUUCCUCGGACGGUCCCAGGAGUGUGGCUGUUUUGAAAAAUCAGGCGUUCCUGCCAGAGGCGCUUCAGGCUUUCAACAGCCCUCUUAGGAAUGGAAGACAGCCCCUGAAUAGAAAUAAAGGAAGGGGAAGAGUGCUUAUGAAGUGCGUGAUCGGUGUUUUCAGUCGGAUCACUCAGGGGGACGUCCCGCAGCGCUCCUCUUUCUCAGGAUCCCAGUGAUUAACGUCACAAGCCCUUCCCGGAGACUGUGCAGCGAGUCGCUGGAGGAGAACCGAGAAGUGAGACGUCAGUGAGUCAGAACUCAUUCAAAGCCCCGGAGUUUCCCGGCCGUUACCUUCCACGCCUGGACCUAUGAGUCAGGGUCAUCUCGCCCCCGUUGUGUGUGGUGCAUACAUGCUUCCCUGCCCUGCUCUUCCGGGGGCCCCAUCCCAGCCCUCACGCGUGCACACACACCGGCCCCGGCCGGCCGCGUCCCCGGC